rnacentral:lncRNA from 1 species
GUGAAAUGCUUGUGUUUCAAUGUGACAGCACCAACAGGCUGUUGCUUUGCAAGACAGAACUGAAUCUACUGACAUGAGCUUGUUUGCACAGUUUUCUGGUGGAGCCACACAUUUCACCCAAUGACCUUUUUGACAUUUUUCUGGUUUCCCUCCUGCAGGAACACUUCAGCAGUGAAGUGCCAUACUCUGCUGAACAAACUUGGCAUCUCAUCAAGCUGACUUAUUUGAAAAAACUCACAAUCUUACUUUACCAGGUGGGGACCUGGCACUGUAGGGGAUGGAGAAGCUGCUGGAAUGAGGGUAGAUUUUUUUUUUGCCUGGGAAGAGACCAACAGGAAAGGUUUCAUGAGAUGAAGGAGAGAAAAAGAAAGAAAGUGAAACCAAGCAGUCGACUUGGUAGCUGCAAUCUUUGAUCUGUGGCUGUCUGCAAACAGCAUCACAGCUCUGUGAUUAGAUGUACAUGCUCAUUAUGUGUUGUACUCUCCAAGCAGGCAUUGUAAAUACAGCACAACCUAUUCUGCUUCCUUCUGCCCAAAUAUCUUUUUUCAUCUAUAUUGCAUUAAGACCUUGAGGCCUAUCAUCAGCCAGAGAAAAAAAUACAAUUUUCUUAUUGUACAAUGCAUUUCAUUCCCAGCUGCUAUAUUAAAUUUAUUCCUAUUUGAAGUGGUGUCUGUGAGUAUAAAUCAUUUAAGUUUAUAUGUUUUUGUUGCUGUGGCAACUGUUUGACUAAUUGAAUUCCAAAGUGUCUCCCUGUAUUUCAGAGCUACGAUAAAAGGCACACAAAUUCUUGGCAGUAGGGGUCUGAAAUGAGGAGGGGGGACAGACAGGCCUGUCAGAAUGACAUGUCCUCAAUCUCCU